GGAUAUGAGGGCGAUCUGGCUGCGACAUCUGUCACCCCAUUGAUCACCAGGGUUGAUUCAGCUGAUCUGGCUGGCUAGGCAGGUGUCCCCUUCCUCCCUCACAGCUCCAUGUGCGUCCCUUCCGAAGCUGCGUGCUCGGUCGAAGAGGACGACCUUCCCCAGUAGAGGAGAGGACCGUUCUUUGGUCAAGGGUAUACGAGUAGCUGUGCUACCCUGCUAGAACCUCCAGACAAGCUCUAAUAGCAUAAACUUAUUUGUAUAUUUCUCACUUAAAACUUAUAUUUAAAAAACUCAGGUAGAAAUAAGGAGGCAUUU
rnacentral:snRNA from 1 species